CCACCCCUCCUCUUUUUAAGCUCUUGGCACCAAGUAACUAUGAAGACUCUGAGAACUGGACCAUCCCAAGGCUGUAGCUUUCUUCAAGCCUGGCAGGCUCUGUCGUGGUGAAGAGUCUGAAGGCUUUUUCUUUUCCAGAUGUAAUUAUUAACCAACAUUCACAUCAGAUUCACAAUUGGAAACCCAGCUGUUAAACAUUUACCAGCACACUACUGGAAAGAAGUGCAUAUGGACUACUCGCUUGGGAUUCCAGAAGAAAGAACGUUAUAGAACACCUACAACUUGGCAAUCAGGGGCCUGAGGUACAGCUGAAGUACAGCUGUGGAAGAGGAGAUGCUAAUUCCUGGAGAGAGAGCAACACAGAUUUUACAGUCAGCAGCCAGAGACUACCCUCAGAACAGGAAUGUGAAAAAUAAACCAGAUAUGCUGAACUGGAUACCAACAAGGUUAAAUGGUGGAAAAGCCAUAAUCACUUCUAAAUUCAAGGGUAGGAUUAAUACUGUAUUUUCACAGUACCUGAAAGUUCUGUGGCCUUUCCUAGACACCAGUUCAUGUGAUCACCAGAACAGAACUGAGGUUGAGGGGAAAGUUAGCUAUCAGCAUUGGGCCCAUUUUACAGAUGGGAAACUGAGGCAGUGGAAGGUAAAGUAGUUUGCCCAAGGUUACUGUUUCUGCAUAAAUGGCUGCCCUGGGACUAGAUGGGAACAGAACUACCACAGACUUGUGGGUCAG
rnacentral:lncRNA from 1 species